CUAUGCUCAGCAGUCAAGCUUAUCUCCCACUGAAUGGCUACUAUCUAACACCAACCAGAGGGUGGCUCCCUGAUACCUCCUUCCAUUGUCCCCAUCAGAUGAAGAUGGUACCUAUUGAUAGUGAUGCUGCUGCUGCUGAUGGUGAUGAUGAUGAUGGUGGUGAUGGUGAUGAUGGUGAUGAUGAUAGUGGUGAUGGUGAUGAUGGUGAUGGUGAUGGUGGUGAUGAUGGUGAUGAUGAUGGUGAUGAUGGUGAUGGUGAUGGUGGUGAUGAUGGUGAUGGUGAUGAUGGUGAUGGUGGUGAUGGUGAUGGUGAUGGUGAUGGUGGUGAUGAUGGUGAUGAUGGUGAUGGUGGUGAUGAUGGUGAUGGUGAUGGUGAUGAUGAUGAUGGUGAUGAUGGUGAUGGUGGUAAUGGUGGUGAUGAUGAUGGUGAUGAUGGUGAUGGUGGUGAUGAUGGUGAUGGUGAUGAUGGUGAUGGUGGUGAUGGUGGUGAUGAUGAUGGUGAUGAUGGUGAUGAUGGUGAUGAUGAUGAUGAUGAUGGUGAUGAUGAUGAUGAUGAUGAUGAUGAUGAUGGUGAUGGUGAUGAUGAUGAUGAUGAUGAUGAUGAUGAUGGUGAUGAUGAUGGUGAUGAUGAUGAUGAUGAUGAUGGUGAUGAUGAUGGUGAUGGUGAUGAUGAUGAUGAUGAUGGUGAUGAUGAUGAUGGUGAUGGUGGUGAUGAUGGUGAUGAUGGUGGUGGUGAUGAUGGUGAUAGUGGUGAUGAUGGUGAUGGUGAUGAUGGUGAUGAUGAUAAUGGUGAUGAUGGUGAUGAUGAUGGUGAUAGUGGUGAUGAUGGUGAUGGUGAUGAUGGUGAUGAUGGUGAUGAUGAUGGUGAUGAUGAUGGUAAUGGUGGUGAUGGUGAUGGUGGUGAUGAUGGUGAUGAUGGUGAUGAUGGUGUGGUAAUGAUAAUACUGUUCAUGGUGAUCACGAUCAUGAUUAUGGUGGUGAUGAUGAUGGUGAUGAUGGUGGUAAUGAUGGUGGUGAUGAUGGUGAUCAUGAUGAUGACAGUGAUGAUGAGGAUGAGAAUGAUGGUGGUUAUGGUAGUGACAAUGAACACUUAGAUGGAACCACAGGUGCCAGCCCCUAGCCUAAGCCCUUCACACAUAUUAACCCGUUUGUUUCUCAUAAUUGCCCCUGAAUGAGGAAAUAUAAUUACCUCCAAUUUACAGAUAAGGAAGCUGAGCCCUAAAGAG
rnacentral:lncRNA from 1 species